UACGUAGGGUGCGUAGCGUUGUCCGGAAUUAUUGGGCGUAAAGAGCUCGUAGGCGGUCUGUCGCGUCCGUUGUGAAAACCCGGAGCUCAACUCCGGGCCUGCAGUCGAUACGGGCGGACUUGAGUGUUGCAGGGAGACUGGAAUUCCUGGUGUAGCGGUGAAAUGCGCAGAUAUCAGGAGGAACACCGGUGGCGAAGGCGGGUCUCUGGGCCGAUACUGACGCUGAGGAGCGAAAGCGUGGGGAGCGAACAGG
rnacentral:rRNA from 1 species